rnacentral:lncRNA from 1 species
AGCCUAAUUAGAUUAUGAGAUAACUCAAUUGCACGGGAGAUCUAUUCCUAAUUUGAUUAAGAUUUGAAUUAACCAAUUUUCUAAUUGAAUUAGGAUCUAAUUGGAUUUCUAAUAGAUUAAAAAAUUAUUUAAUUUUGGGUGCAUCUAAAUCCUAAAUUGGUUAGGAUUUAAUUACACAUUCAAGAGAGUUCCUAAUUUUACUGGGAC